GUCAGAGACCUCUUCCACUGUCCACAAAUUUUCCUGAUGUAAUUGCCUCAGUGGUGUUGUUUGUUUGGAUUGUGUUUUUUUUUACUUUUAUGAGGUCUGUGUGAUUCUCCGGACUCUGCCUGCUCUGAGUGGCAGUGUUUGUUAACAAUGGCGCUCCUUUGGGGGAAAUUAGGGCAGACUUCAUGCAGUCGUUUAGUAAAAAUAAAAAAAGGCCUGACAUAGGGAAACCUGAUGUUUCAUUGAAAAAUUCAAAGAACCUUAAACCUCAUGAAUCUCCACCCUUGAGAGAUGCAUUGGAGUCAAAUGCAUCAUUUGGGAUUUAAAACUGCCUUGAGUUGUUUUUUUAAUGACUUGCGUUUCAGAAUAAACAUCUGUUGCCUAAAAUUCAAAUGGUUUUGACAUUUUGCAUGUUAGGGAUAAAACCCAGAGACAAACAUUGGCAGUUUCAGACUGAAGGAGAAGAACGUACGAUGAUGGAAAAGGUUCUGCUCAUCUUUGCUGCUUCAGGCAAGUCUUUCAUAUGCUUAUAUUUGUCCUUAUGCUUGUGAUUGUCAUGUUCCUGCGUGUCUUUGGCAGCUCUGAGUGCGGUUUCCUCACGCCCCGCACGCCGGUACCAUGUCAUUUAUGACCCAAAGAACUGGAUUGAAGCUCAGAGUUACUGCAGAGAGAAAUUCACUGACUUAGCAACUGUGGACAACAUGGAUGAUGUGAACACCCUGAUGAACAUGGGACUUCCAACUACCCUGGUACCUUGGAUUGGCUUAUAUUAUGAUGGAGGCACUUGGCAGUGGUCGAUGACAGACAAAGAUUUCUUCAAACAAGAUGAAGCUAACUACAGAUACUGGUAUCCUGGUGAACCCAUCAGUGGCUGGAACAACGUACAGUGUGUGUACAUGUAUGCCAGCGGACUGUGGAACGACGCUCCUUGUGAUUGGUUAAUAAAACCAAUGUGCUCUGAUGUGAGAGGUGAGGUUAUGCUCAAUGAACAACACCGCUGUUCUUGACCUUAAAUAUUGCUCUCGUUCGGCCUACUUCUGCACCGACAGAGGUGAAUUUCUAAUGAACUCCUGUCUUUCUGCACAAACUUCAUCCUAGAAAACAACACAGUUUUUCAUAUUUUGGUUAAAAAAAGGCUUAAUUAUAAUUAAAAGACCUCUGGGAACUUUUUUUAUGAUGGAUCAAAAUAUGACUAAAGUGGGGCUUAUAGAAAAGUCAAGGUGGGUAAGGCAGCUGGCCCAGACAGUGUCAGCAAGAGGUUCCUAAAGUACUUUUUAUUUCAGCUAGUAUAAUGAAACCAUCAUUUGUUUUCUAAUAGAUAACUGCAGGAGACGGUCUUGUAUAUUUCAGGUGUUUGUUCUGAUCUGUAGAUGUGUGGAGG
rnacentral:lncRNA from 1 species